GACGAACGCUGGCGGCGUGCCUAAUACAUGCAAGUCGAGCGAAGCGGCGGAUGGGUGAGUAACGCGUGGGUAACCUGCCCUUAAGUCUGGGAUACCAUUUGGAAACAGAUGCUAAUACCGGAUACUAAAGGAUGGACCAGCGAUGCCUUAGCUAGUUGGUAAGGUAACGGCUUACCAAGGCGAUGAUGCAUGGCCUGUUUGCGAUACUGAUCGGCCACAUUGGGACUGAGACACUGCCCAAACUCCUACGGGAGGCAGCAGUAGGGAAUCUUCCACAAUGGACGAAAGUCUGAUUGAGCAACGCCUCGUGAGUGAAGAAGGUUUUCGGAUCGUAAAGCUCUGUUGUUGGUUAAGCUUUCAUCAACCAGAAAGUCACGGCUAACUACGUGCCAGCAGCCGCGGUAAUAC
rnacentral:rRNA from 1 species